UAUUACAAUUACCUUUUUGCAGUAGUUUCAAACUUCAAAACAAUAACAACAGUUUUCUGUGUUUCUCAGUUUUCUCACAAAAAAGUCUCACAAUGGAUGGUUUAACAAGUAGAAAAGGACUUUAUACCAAUGGCAUACAUAUAUCCAGUGCAGAUAGUGUGUGGCUACUCAGGGUCUCUCCAUGGCAGAAGGGGCCCUUUGCUCCUCUUACAGAUAUUACAGCCAGGAUUCCAGAUCAUGCAUUUUGAGGGACGUAAAACCCAUCUGAACUUUGCUACUCCUAGGAUACCUUUCAAGAUGGAUGCUUUCAAUCAAUUUUUUAUUACAACAAAGGUCUUUGGGAAUAUCUAGGGUGCAGCUUUCUGAUGUUCUUGAAAGAUAAAGCACAAAAAAGCACAAACAGAGCAUUCCCAAGAAAUCCCCAACAAUCCUUAGCCUGUCUGUUUAGUAGCCGCAUACUUAAUUUUGAAUAUACCAACGUUUACUUUGCUGAAAAUAAUGGGGAAUAGAAAUCCCUUCUCCUUUAUCCCUAUUAUUUGCCAUAUUGGUUAAGAUAUUUUUUUAAUAUUCAAUUUUCCCCUUCUACGACUGAAAUGUUAGCAGUAAGAAAAAUUACACAAUUAUAGAGAAUGUGUAAAAGUAAGAACCUCUAAAUGAAAUACUUUUGGACAGUGCUUUGAAUUUGAAUAUCAUGGGAAUCUACUUUUCUGAAAAUUAUAUCAGCUAGGCCUCUACUUUGUAAGAGUGGCCUUUCCUUUUGUUACUAGAAAAGCCAGCCUGUAUUUAGCUGAUUUAUUGACUCAAAUAUUUCUGCUCUUCCCUCUCAUGAUUGGCAUUUUUUUUCUUUUCACUCGCUUAACUACCCACAUAUCCUUGGAAUAUGUACUGCUAAUAUAAGCCUGAACAUUUUAACAAAAUAUAAUUCAGACCUUAAUCAAAGUGAAUUUUUCAGUCAUAAAUGAAUUUGCAUAAUUUAUUCUUGAAAGUGCUAUCCUGUGUUGGAGUUUUUAGUCAUAGUGAACAUAAUGAUGCUGGAGUUAAUGGUGUGAACCUGACAAUUUUAUUAGAUAAAAUAUUGUUUUCAAGAAAAAAAAAUGUAGCUUAAUUUUUGCGUGCAUGAUAGCAAAGCAAAUUCAUUUUUAGGAUUUCUAACCAAAGGAAAAACUUUAUAAUAUAAAACCACGAUAGUUGGUUUGUAAGCAAAGAUAUAGCUGUCACAUAAGGUAUUUCUAAAUGUGUCUGAUAUAAUCACAAAGGACCCUUAUAAUACAGAGGAGGCAUUUAUACCUUUGCCAUUACAACCCCAAUCCACUCCCUAU